GACAGAGGGUGCAAACGUUGUUCGGAAUUACUGGGCGUAAAGCGUGUGUAGGCUGCUAAGUAAGUCGGAUGUGAAAGCCCCGGGCUCAACCCGGGAAGUGCACUCGAAACUGCUUAGCUUGAGUAUCGGAGAGGUUGGUGGAAUUCUCGGUGUAGAGGUGAAAUUCGUAGAUAUCGAGAGGAACACCGGUGGCGAAGGCGGCCAACUGGACGAAUACUGACGCUGAGACGCGAAAGCGUGGGGAGCAAACAGG
rnacentral:rRNA from 1 species